GACGAACGCUGGCGGCAUGCCUAAUACAUGCAAGUCGAGCGAACAGAUGAAGUGCUUGCACUUCUGACGUUAGCGGCGAACGGGUGAGUAACACGUAAGUAAUCUACCUAUAAGCGGGGGAUAACUUUCGGAAACGGGUGCUAAUACCGCAUAAUAUCUUCUUCCGCAUGGAAGAAGAUUGAAAGACGGCUCUGCUGUCACUUAUAGAUGACCCUGCGGUGCAUUAGUUAGUUGGUGGGGUAACGGCCUACCAAGACGAUGAUGCAUAGCCGACCUGAGAGGGUGAUCGGCAACAUGGGGACUGGGAAACGGCCCAAACUCCAACGGGAGGCAGAGGUGGGGAACCUUCGGCAAUGGGCGAAAGCCUGCCGGAGCAAUGCCGCGUGGGUGAAGAAGGCCUUCGGGUCGUAAACCUCUGUUAUAAGAGAAGAACAAAUUGUAGGGUAACUGCCACAGUCUUGACGGUAUCUUAUCAGAAAGCCACGGCUAACUACGU
rnacentral:rRNA from 1 species